GACGAACGCUGGCGGCGUGCUUAACACAUGCAAGUCGAACGGUAAGGCCCUUCGGGGUACACGAGUGGCGAACGGGUGAGUAACACGUGGGUGAUCUGCCCUGCACUUCGGGAUAAGCCUGGGAAACUGGGUCUAAUACCGGAUAGGACUCCUGGCUUCAUGGUUGGGGGUGGAAAGCUUUUGCGGUGUGGGAUGGGCCCGCGGCCUAUCAGCUUGUUGGUGGGGUAAUGGCCUACCAAGGCGACGACGGGUAGCCGGCCUGAGAGGGUGACCGGUCACACUGGGACGGAGAUACGGGCCAGACUCCUACGGGAGGCAGCAGUGGGGAAUAUUGCACAAUGGGCGCAAGCCUGAUGCAGCGACGCCGCGUGAGGGAUGACGGCCUUCGGGUUGUAAACCUCUUUCAGCUAUGACGAAGCGCAAGUGACGGUAGUAGCAGAAGAAGGACCGGCCAACUACGUGCCAGCCGCCGCGGUAA
rnacentral:rRNA from 1 species